rnacentral:rRNA from 1 species
AGUGGCGGACGGGUGAGUAACGCGUAAGAAUCUAACUUCAGGACGGGGACAACAGUUGGAAACGACUGCUAAUACCCGAUGUGCCGCAAGGUGAAACCUAAUUGGCCUGGAGAAGAGCUUGCGUCUGAUUAGCUAGUUGGUGGGGUAAAGGCCUACCAAGGCGACGAUCAGUAGCUGGUCUGAGAGGAUGAGCAGCCACACCGGGACUGAGACACGGCCCAGACUCCUACGGGAGGCAGCAGUGGGGAAUUUUCCGCAAUGGGCGAAAGCCUGACGGAGCAACGCCGCGUGAGGGAGGAAGGUCUUUGGAUUGUAAACCUCUUUUCUCAAGGAAGAAGUUCUGACGGUACUUGAGGAAUCAGCCUCGGCUAACUCCGUGCCAGCAGCCGCGGUAAUACGGGGGAGGCAAGCGUUAUCCGGAAUUAUUGGGCGUAAAGCGUCCGCAGGUGGUCAGCCAAGUCUGCCGUCAAAUCAGGUUGCUUAACGACCUAAAGGCGGUGGAAACUGGCAGACUAGAGAGCAGUAGGGGUAGCAGGAAUUCCCAGUGUAGCGGUGAAAUGCGUAGAGAUUGGGAAGAACAUCGGUGGCGAAAGCGUGCUACUGGGCUGUAUCUGACACUCAGGGACGAAAGCUAGGGGAGCGAAAGGGAUUAGAUACCCCUGUAGUCCUAGCCGUAAACGAUGGAUACUAGGCGUGGCUU